CACACAUGAAGAUGUAAACAAGCUUAACACAGAAGCAUUUUGUCCUCUCAUGGCCUUUCUUUGGGAUACAGCAUGGUCCUCCUUGUUGUGUCUUCCUUGUUUGAAAAAACCCAUGGGGUAGAUGCAGUCAACAGUUCAAGUGGUCGCUACGCGUUUCGAUGCCUGUAGAAAAUGCUUCCUGGCUUUCAUCUGUUACAACCUCUAAUUCAUCUUCACAAAUUAGUUAAGUUCUUUG